rnacentral:lncRNA from 1 species
ACGAUGUUACAUACAGUAAUUGCAUACUUAGUUUUAUAAGAAACUGCCUCUUUUCCAGAACGGCUGUGCCAUUUCACAUCUAUACCAGCAAUAUAUGAACAAUCUAGUUUCUCUGCAUCCUUGUCAGCAUGUGGUAUCAUCACUAUUUAUUAUUUUAGCCAUUCCGUUUAAUUGGCAUGACAUGCAACCUAGAUUGGAUUUCCUGAAAGCUGCAAGAUGAUUCUAAUGGAGCAAAGUUUGACAACCACAGUCACCAAACAAAUGCUUCCUUCACAAAGUCAAGAAGAAGAUAACCAGCACCUCAGAAGCUCUCUUCAUACACCCCUCAACCACUACUCACUGGAUUUGUUUGGCCUAUUUUCAAACAUUGUAUCUAUAAAAUCAUAUAGUAUGCAUUAUUUUGUGUUUUGCUUUUC